rnacentral:tRNA from 3 species
GCAUUUGAAGCCAAAUGGUGAGGCAAAAGUCUGCAAAACUUUCAUUACUCGGUUCGAUUCCGAGCAAAUGCUCCA